CAAGAAGAGAAAAUGGUGGGUAGUUAGAGAAUUCCUGCAUGAAAUGUAAUUAUCAAGAUCACCAUCUUUUGUUUUCCUUUAAUUGAUUAUUUUCACUGAGUUUCUUUAGAUAUUUGGAGUUUUUCUCUAUGCUUUUGAAGCAAGAAGUGGAGAAAGAAAGAGAAAUGUUAGUGAUGACGGUAGAGGAUUUUUACAAACAGUAUCUUCAGAAGGAUCCAAUGCGCACAAACUCUUGUGGUCAUACACGUUUGCAAUUAGUACUUAUAUUCUGUUCAAUGAAAAUAAGCAGCUUUUCCUGUUUUCUGAUCAAUCUCUACGCACUUUGAUUUGCUCUUGACGUUUAACCAUUUCUUCACCACCGUUUUAGGCCAAAAAAGCGUCAACAGCAAACACCAGAAAUAAAAAAUCUUGACAUCCAUAACAAAAAAAUAACGCAUAUUCACUCACUUGUGUUUAGCUUUCUGGAAAACCAAAGCAAAUUACAAGCAUUUACCUAACCCUUCAACUUCCAAGGGAAAAAAAGGAAAAAAAAAAAAAAGGAAGGUAUACACUUGCAAAUAUUAUGUUUAUGCAGUACAUACAGAAUUCGAGAUUUUCAAGGGAAAAAUAGAGAGAGACAGAGAGAUGAGAUCAAAAUCAAAGAGCGUGCAUUGUUGGUAUGGAUUAUGUGGAGAUUUUUUAGGUCGACAUCGCCGAUAUUCCAGAAAUGGGGCUGUUCUACGUGAGAAAUGGGAUGGGGGAGUGGUGUGAGAAGAAAGAGAAAGGGAAAUAGGGUUUGGCGUGUCUAACUGGGUUUGUUUCACUUUAAUUGCCAAGAAAAUGAAAUAUCAGCUCACCCAUGGAAAUUGAAAUUCCUCACUGUCGUGGAAUAGAGG
rnacentral:lncRNA from 1 species